GUAACUAUAGCUCAACUGGUAGAGCAUGAGACUCUUAAACUCAGGGUUGUGGGUUCAAGCCCCAUGUUGGCCA